UGAAUUGAUUCACAUUCGGGGAUUCAAGGUUUAGUGUUGUUAUUGAUUGGAAAAGGUUUUGGUAAUGCUGUUGGACAGAUACGUGUCGGUCCAGUUGGGGACUGGUUUCUUUGUUGCUUUGUGUGCUUCGGUGCGCGUUGUGGUGAGGUUACUGGACUCUGACCCGGGUCGAUCGUGGGCGGUUUCAGCUGUUAGUGUCGUGUAGCUAGCAACGCGCGAGGACAUGUUCCACGUUGCGUCAAGCGGCUGUACUUCCAUGGUCUGGCGCGCGACGGCUAACUCAGAACUGGCACGGACCAGGGGAAUCCGACUGUCUAAUUAAAACAAAGCAUUGCGAUGUCCACUGAUUGGUUUUGACGCAAUGUGAUUUCUGUCCAGUGCUCUGAAUGUCAAAGUGAAGAAAUUCAACCAAGCGCGGGUAAACGGCGGGAGUAACUAUGACUCUCUUAAGGAUGUUUUAAUUUAUUUUUGAACUACUACUGUCUGAGUGCUUCUUACAACCCGAAGGCUCAGAAACUACCCACUUUUUGAACUGCUACUUUUUGCUGUUUAUCCACAACAACAGUUGUGAAUCUAUUCUCCAAAUAUUCCUUGUGCUUUUGUCAACAUUAUUCUAUACAAACUGUACCACUUACUUCUUCACCUCACGUUUUAAUUUAUUUUUGAACUACUGCAGUUUGAGUGCUUCUAACAACCCGAAGGCUCAGAAACUACCCACUUUUUGAACUGCUACUUUUUGCUGUUUAUCCACAACAACAGUUGUGAAUCUAUUCUCCAAAUAUUCCUUGUGCUUUUGUCAACAUUAUUCUAUACCAACUGUACCACCUACUUCUUCAUCUCACGUUUUAAUUCUGGUCUAAUUUUCUCAUCAUUAGUCACGGAGAGGGCCUAUGAACGGUCCGUGACGCGAAAUUCAAUCCACGAAUUCGUCCUCUUCUGCUAGUGGUCCCCGAAAUACGGUUCCUCUGGCCUGUCAGUUGUGUUAAAACUAUAUAAUAACGAUGCCGGUCUCAACCGGCGCAGAAACUGACAUAACCUCUUCUUUGCCUAUUCCUGCAUCCUCAAUCGUCUCGCCAAACUACACACUCCCUGAUUCCUCUUCAACCUGCCUUAUAUGUUUCGCUAUCUUCCCCACCCACAACAUACUCCUCUCCCAUGCCACUGCAAUCCACCAUAUUUCUUGUCCUCCUACUCCAGUGCAAGACGGUUCUCAGCAGAUGUCUUGUGUUCUUUGCGCCGCCGCUUCUUCAUCUAACAGGGGACUAACACAACACAUUCGCCACCGGCACAUCUCCGAAUAUAACGAACUAAUCAGACAACGAAUUGCAGUGCAGCCGACGUCUCGCAUAUGGUCACCAUUCGAUGAUGCUUCUCUACUAUCAAUCGCUAACCAUGAAGCCCAUAGAUUCCCCACGAAGAAUGACUUAUACCAACACAUCAGCACUGUAUUAACACGCAGGACGGCAGAGGCCGUCAAACGCCGACUCCUCCACCUACAGUGGUCCAGAUCACCCACAGCGAUUACUACCUCUUCGAAUAAUCACACAACCACAGACAUCCCCAAUACCGAGGCCCGAUAUAUUUUUCCGGUAGACCUAGACGAACAUCCACCAUUGUCUGAUGCCACAACCCCCGACGCAUCGACACAUCCACUCCCAGAACUCCUUGUCAUCUUGACACCGCUUCCAUCCCCGACUAGACUACAAAACAUAUCCGAAUCACAGACCUCCCAUGAAUCCAAUAGGAACUCAAUGCAUACACCGCCAACGUAUGCCUGCGAUUCGGAUGAGUCACUAGGGGUUACUCCCUCAUCAACUAUCCCCUCAUGCUUCCACAGUUAUCGGGACCCCCUAGCUGAACAAAGAAGCAAACUCCUGAGGGCAUCCGCCAGCCUACUACAAAGCAGUUGUACUCGCAUACGGUCCUCCAGCCUGCUCGCCUUCCUCCAAAACGAAUCCACAUUAAUGGACGAGGAACACGUGUCCACCUUCCUCAAUAGUCAUGCAGAAUUCGUCUUCCCUAGAACAUGGACCCCAUCCCGACCCAAACACCCCUCCCACGCCCCAGCUAAUGUUUCUAGGAAGAAAAGGAGGAAAAUAGAGUACGCACACAUCCAGACACUCUUCCACCACCGUCCCAAAGAUGCCGCCAACACCGUUCUAGACGGUCGGUGGAGAAACCCCUAUGUCGCAAACCAUUCAAUGAUUCCAGACUUCGACUGCUUCUGGACAACAGUCUUUACUAAAACAAAUUCCCCAGACAGCCGGGAGAUUACUCCAAUCAUCCCUAUGACUCCCUCUCUCAUUGACCCGAUCCUCUCCUCUGACGUCACAUGGGCGCUGAAAGAAAUGCAUGGCACGGCCGGUGGGAUUGAUCGUCUAACAUCGUACGAUCUGAUGAGAUUCGGGAAGAAUGGUCUUGCUGGAUAUCUCAACAUGCUACUCGCUCUUGCAUACCUUCCCACUAAUCUCUCAACAGCACGGGUAACUUUCGUCCCCAAGUCAUCAAGUCCUGUGUCACCUGAGGACUUCCGUCCCAUCAGUGUCGCUCCAGUAGCCACUAGGUGCCUGCACAAAAUUCUAGCAAAGAGAUGGAUGCCGCUCUUUCCACAGGAACGACUUCAGUUCGCUUUCCUAAACCGAGAUGGAUGCUUUGAAGCAGUUAAUCUUCUGCACUCGGUCAUACGGCACGUCCACACCCGCCAUGCAGGAGCAUCCUUCGCCCUGCUCGACAUAUCACGGGCCUUUGACACUGUAUCACAUGACUCCAUCAUCAGAGCGGCGAAAAGAUAUGGGGCACCUGAACUGUUAUGCCGCUACCUCAAUAACUAUUACCGACGUUCAACCAGCUGCGUCAACCGCACUGAAUUGCAUCCUACGUGUGGGGUGAAGCAAGGAGACCCCCUGUCGCCACUCCUCUUCAUCAUGGUUCUCGACGAAUUACUGGAAGGUCUAGAUCCAAUGACCCACCUAACAGUUGAUGGAGAGAGCUUGAACUACAUAGCUUAUGCUGACGAUCUCGUAGUUUUCGCUCCAAAUGCAGAACUCCUUCAACGGAAACUCGAUCGGAUCUCCCUACUUCUACACGAGGCUGGAUGGUCGAUUAACCCUGAAAAAAGCCGGACCCUGGACCUAAUCUCUGGUGGCCAUUCCAAAAUCACAGCGCUCUCUCAGACAGAAUUCACCAUCGCGGGGAUGCGUAUACCACCGCUUUCCGCCGCCGACACCUUCGACUAUCUGGGUAUCAAAUCCAACUUCAAGGGCCGAUGCCCAGUGGCCCAUAUUGACUUAUUGAACAACUACCUCACGGAAAUAUCGUGCGCUCCACUUAAGCCGCAGCAGCGCAUGAAGAUCUUGAAAGAUAAUCUACUCCCUUGACUCCUCUACCCCCUGACUCUAGGAAUAGUACACCUGAAAACCCUGAAGUCAAUGGACCGAAAUAUCCACACGGCCAUAAGGAAAUGGUUGCGGCUACCCUCCGACACCCCGCUAGCAUAUUUUCACUCACCCGUCGCUGCCGGAGGCCUAGGGAUCCUCCAUCUGUCCUCAUCGGUUCCAUUCCACCGUCGAAAACGUCUAGAAACCCUCCUAUCUUCACCGAACCGCCUACUGCACAAGUUGCCAACUUCCCCAACACUAGCUUCUUAUUCACACCUUAGUCAACUGCCAGUUCGAAUUGGGCACGAGACCGUAACGUCUAGAGAAGAGGCUUCCAACAGCUGGGUGAGACGAUUACAUUCGUCCUGCGACGGGAAGGGACUACUCCUAGCACCACUAAGCACCGAGUCCCAUGCAUGGCUGCGCUACCCCCAGUCUAUUUUUCCAAGUGUUUACAUCAACGCCGUUAAAUUACGAGGUGGCUUACUAUCCACCAAAGUCAGGAGAUCUCGCGGAGGUAGAGUGACGAAUGGCCUGAACUGUCGAGGCGGUUGCGCCCAUCAUGAAACAAUCCACCACAUUCUGCAACAUUGCGCGCUCACCCAUGACAUCAGAUGCAAACGCCAUAACGAACUAUGCAACCUUGUGGCAAAGAAACUGCGUAGGCAAAAAAUCCAUUUCUUACAGGAGCCCUGCAUUCCUCUAGAAAAAACUUACUGCAAACCUGAUUUUAUAAUUAUACGUGAUUCAAUUGCUUAUGUUCUAGACGUCACUGUAUCGGACGACGGAAACACCCACGCCAGCCGCCUGUUAAAAAUAUCAAAAUACGGCAAUGAGCGAACCGUCGCAUCGAUCAAGCGAUUCCUCACAUCCAGUGGAUAUAUCAUUACCAGUGUUCGACAAACACCAGUCCUUACAUUCAGAGGUAUUCUGGAGAGAGCAAGUUCACAAUCCCUACGACGCCUAUGUUUUUCGUCCCGUGACCUCGGUGACCUUUGCCUGAGUGCGAUUCAAGGCUCAAUUAAAAUAUAUAAUACCUAUAUGAGAGGAACCCAACGGCUGAACGAAUAGCCCCCUUCACUCUUAGACAUUCCCCCACUGUUGUUGCUUAUCUUCAUGUUUUUGUGUUAAUUGACUGCUCUCUUCUGGGUUGAUGUCUGAUUGUCUCUCUCUUUCCAUAUUGCUUGCUCUCCCCGCUUACUUCCAAUAGUUGUCAUAUUAUGUCUUUGUUUACUUGCCAUGUCUAACGACAAUUACUUUAUCUACCUUAGUUGGUCCUCUUGGUUUGGUUGCCUUCAUGUGUUCAUGGCGGAAUCUGAUGUUUAUAAUGACUAUUCCUACUACCACCAUUACAACUAUUAUUAUUAUCACUAUUAUUAACAUUAUUAUUACUUCUACAAUUAGUAUUAUGGCUACUCCUUUCAGCACACCAAUAAAAUCUCAAUCAAACAUCUCACUUAUUAAACUCUCUAUUUCCCCUUCGUUAUAAACUUACAAUUCAGUUUAACCGAAUAUCUCUCUUUUACAAAUCUUAAGUAUGUAAUUUUGUGCCAAGCCCAUUUGGGUCUGUACAAUUUGAUACUUAAAAAUAAAUGUUAUUAGCCAAAUGCUUCGUCAUCUAAUUAGUGACGCGCAUGAAUGGAUUAACGAGAUUCCCACUGUCCCUAUCUACUAUCUAGCGAAACCACAGCCAAGGGAACGGGCUUGG
rnacentral:ncRNA from 1 species